GGGGUUGGGUAGACAUCAUUGGCGUGUGAGCAUAGAGGAGUCUCUUCUUCUCUUGGGUGAGCAUCCUAAAAAUUUAUUCUAGGGUUUUGAGAGAGGGAAAAACAUAAGAGAGAAAGAGUUCUUCUCUCCUUCUUCCAGCACCACAAGUCCUCCUUAUUCUUCUUCAGAUCUGGAAGAGUUUGAGACAUCCAAAGAUAAAAUAUAGAUCAGCCAUCCAGAGAUUUCUAUGCG
rnacentral:lncRNA from 1 species